UGAGUUUCUUGCAAUCACAUAAAAUAGAUCAUACUAGAUCAAUCGAGAAAUCAUCUAGAUUCUAGAGAAUCAUAUCUCAAGUUCAUGUUAUCAUUGUCUUUUUUCCUAUGUCUACCAUUAAUUCCCCCAUUCACAUUGAUUCUUUUACGUCUAGAUCGAUGUUCAUUUGAUUUUUUCGAGGAUUAUUCCUCCUCCUCAAAAAGAUCAGCGCAUCUGUCUCUCUGCCUUGUCUCCUCUUUCACUUUAUGAUCUAAAUCAUUCCUUCUAACAUUUUCGAAGAAGAGUUGUGUCUGAAUCGUUCAGAUUGUGGGAGACCAUUUUGUUCUUCUUAGAUCAUUUCUUUCCAUCCCUUUUUCUGUUCUCUUUCAUCAUAUCAUUUAUGGCGAUUGGCGAAGAAAAUUAGCAAGGAAAAUUUCAAUGGCAAUGACAAAGAUGGUGAUUUACGAAGAAGUGAGAUACACUGAAAAUGACAAAAUCUGAGGCAAAUUUGGGUUUGUUUCUUGAUAGAGUUAUUACCGAUAAAGUAACUUUUCUGGAGAACACCCGUCGACAGUUGAAGGCCUUCUUAACAAAAGACUCAUUGAAAGACAUUGGAGAUGAAGCGGAAGAGAGCAUUAAUGAUAUGAAUGAUACUGAAAGGGUUGAUGAUUGAAGAAAGAAUGAUAUAUAUGAUCAUCGAAGUCCUAGACAUUUGGCUUCGAGAAAAUGAUGACGAAAUCAGGAUUUGGGUAAGAUUAGAGUCGUAGAG
rnacentral:lncRNA from 1 species